rnacentral:rRNA from 1 species
GGGAAAAGCCACUAAGCUUCAGCUACACACGACCGUACCGCAAACCGACACUGGUGCGCGAGAUGAGUAUUCUAAGGCGCUUGAGAGAACUCUGGAGAAGGAACUCGGCAAAUUGACACCGUAACUUCGGAAGAAGGUGUGCCUUUAGUAGGUGAUCCAUUUACUUGGUGAGCCCAAUGAGGCCGCAGAGAAUCGGUGGCUGCAACUGUUUAAUAAAAACACAGCACUCUGCAAAGACGAAAGUCGACGUAUAGGGUGUGACGCCUGCCCGGUGCUGGAAGAUUAAAUGAUGGGGUGCAAGCUCUUGAUUGAAGUCCCAGUAAACGGCGGCCGUAACAAUAACGGUCCUAAGGUAGCGAAAUUCCUUGUCGGGUAAGUUCCGACCUGCACGAAUGGCGUAAUGAUGGCCACACUGUCUCCUCCAGAGACUCAGCGAAGUUGAAAUGUUUGUGAUGAUGCAAUCUCCCCGCGGAAAGACGGAAAGACCCCAUGAACCUUUACUGUAGCUUUACAUUGGACUUUGAACAGAUCUGUGUAGGAUAGGUGGGAGGCUUUGAAGCGGUGCCGCUAGGUGUCGUGGAGCCAACCUUGAAAUACCACCCUGGUGUGCUCGAGGUUCUAACCUUGGCCCGUUAUCCGGGUUGGGGACAGUGUAUGGUGGGCAGUUUGACUGGGGCGGUCUCCUCCCAAAGUGUAACGGAGGAGUUCGAAGGUACGCUAAAUACGGUCGGAAAUCGUGUUGAUAGUGCAUUGGCAUAAGCGUGCUUGACUGCGAGACUGACAAGUCGAGCAGGUACGAAAGUAGGACAAAGUGAUCCGGUGGUUCUGUAUGGAAGGGCCAUCGCUCAACGGAUAAAAGGUACUCUGGGGAUAACAGGCUGAUACCGCCCAAGAGUUCAUAUCGACGGCGGUGUUUGGCACCUCGAUGUCGGCUCAUCUCAUCCUGGGGCUGUAGCCGGUCCCAAGGGUAUGGCUGUUCGCCAUUUAAAGAGGUACGUGAGCUGGGUUUAAAACGUCGUGAGACAGUUUGGUCCCUAUCUUCCGUGGGCGCUGCAAGAUUGAGAGAGCCUGCUCCUAGUACGAGAGGACCGGAGUGGACGCACCGCUGGUGUAUCGGUUGUCAUGCCAAUGGCAUUGCCGAGUAGCUAAGUGCGGAAGAGAUAACCGCUGAAAGCAUCUAAGCGGGAAACUCGUCUCAAGAUGAGUCUUGCCGGGGCCCUGAGCCCCCUGAAGGGUCGUUCGAGACCAGGACGUUGAUAGGUCGGGUGUGGAAGCGCAGCAAUGCGUUAAGCUAACCGAUACUAAUUGCCCGUGAGGCUUGACCCU